GACGAACGCUGGCGGCGUGCUUAACACAUGCAAGUCGAACGGAAAGGCCCUGCUUUUGUGGGGUGCUCGAGUGGCGAACGGGUGAGUAACACGUGAGUAACCUACCCUUGGCUUUGGGAUAACUUCAGGAAACUGGGGCUAAUACCGGAUAGGAGCUCCUGCUGCAUGGUGGGGGUUGGAAAGUUUCGGCGGUUGGGGAUGGACUCGCGGCUUAUCAGCUUGUUGGUGGGGUAGUGGCUUACCAAGGCUUUGACGGGUAGCCGGCCUGAGAGGGUGACCGGCCACAUUGGGACUGAGAUACGGCCCAGACUCCUACGGGAGGCAGCAGUGGGGAAUAUUGCACAAUGGGCGGAAGCCUGAUGCAGCAACGCCGCGUGCGGGAUGACGGCCUUCGGGUUGUAAACCGCUUUCGCCUGUGACGAAGCGUGAGUGACGGUAAUGGGUAAAGAAGCACCGGCUAACUACGUGCCAGCAGCCGCGGUGAUACGUAGGGUGCGAGCGUUGUCCGGAUUUAUUGGGCGUAAAGGGCUCGUAGGUGGUUGAUCGCGUCGGAAGUGUAAUCUUGGGGCUUAACCCUGAGCGUGCUUUCGAUACGGGUUGACUUGAGGAAGGUAGGGGAGAAUGGAAUUCCUGGUGGAGCGGUGGAAUGCGCAGAUAUCAGGAGGAACACCAGUGGCGAAGGCGGUUCUCUGGGCCUUUCCUGACGCUGAGGAGCGAAAGCGUGGGGAGCGAACAGGCUUAGAUACCCUGGUAGUCCACGCUGUAAACGGUGGGUACUAGGUGUGGGGUCCAUUCCACGGGUUCCGUGCCGUAGCUAACGCUUUAAGUACCCCGCCUGGGGAGUACGGCCGCAAGGCUAAAACUCAAAGGAAUUGACGGGGCCCCGCACAAGCGGCGGAGCAUGCGGAUUAAUUCGAUGCAACGCGUAGAACCUUACCUGGGUUUGACAUGGAUCGGGAGUGCUCAGAGAUGGGUGUGCCUCUUUUGGGGUCGGUUCACAGGUGGUGCAUGGCUGUCGUCAGCUCGUGUCGUGAGAUGUUGGGUUAAGUCCCGCAACGAGCGCAACCCUUGUUCACUGUUGCCAGCACGUUAUGGUGGGGACUCAGUGGAGACCGCCGGGGUCAACUCGGAGGAAGGUGGGGAUGACGUCAAGUCAUCAUGCCCCUUAUGUCCAGGGCUUCACGCAUGCUACAAUGGCUGGUACAGAGAGUGGCGAGCCUGUGAGGGUGAGCGAAUCUCGGAAAGCCGGUCUCAGUUCGGAUUGGGGUCUGCAACUCGACCUCAUGAAGUCGGAGUCGCUAGUAAUCGCAGAUCAGCAACGCUGCGGUGAAUACGUACCCGGGGCUUGUACACACCGCCCGUCAAGUCAUGAAAGUUGGUAACACCCGAAGCCGGUGGCCUAACCGUUGUGGGGGAGCCGCCGAAGGUGGGGCUGGUGAUUAGGACUAAGUCGUAACAAGGUAGCCGUACCGGAAGG
rnacentral:rRNA from 1 species